rnacentral:rRNA from 1 species
CCUACGGGCGGCAGCAGUGAGGAAUAUUGGUCAAUGGACGAGAGUCUGAACCAGCCAAGUAGCGUGAAGGAUGACUGCCCUAUGGGUUGUAAACUUCUUUUAUAUGGGAAUAAAAUGUUCCACGUGUGGGAUUUUGUAUGUACCAUAUGAAUAAGGAUCGGCUAACUCCGUGCCAGCAGCCGCGGUAAUACGGAGGAUCCGAGCGUUAUCCGGAUUUAUUGGGUUUAAAGGGAGCGUAGGUGGAUUGUUAAGUCAGUUGUGAAAGUUUGCGGCUCAACCGUAAAAUUGCAGUUGAAACUGGCAGUCUUGAGUACAGUAGAGGUGGGCGGAAUUCGUGGUGUAGCGGUGAAAUGCUUAGAUAUCACGAAGAACUCCGAGUGCGAAGGCAGUUCACUGGACUGCAACUGACACUGAGGCUCGAAAGUGUGGGUAUCAAACAGGAUUAGAUACCCCUGUAGUC